CAUGAGGACAUCCAGAGUCUGAUUUUUCCCCAUAUUAAAAAUGCUUUAAUAUGGGGAAAAAUCGGACCCUGGAUGUCCUCAUGCAGAGCGA